GGGAGUGCCCCAUCAGCGAGUCUUUUCUCCAUUAAUGUGCUGUAACAGUUCUGCUGUUAAAUGGCAUUUUACUUCUCCAUGUGACGCCUAAACUGUUGCCUGCUCUGUGUUCACAGAUACGCAGGGAGCUGCCAUUUUUAAAUAGCUCAGGAACACACAGGCACCUGUGAUAUUUGGAAUGUCUGAACUCAAUGAAGAAUGUACAUGUUGAGCCAAAAUUACCCAGAGAUCCUAGCUCAUAGGGUAUAGGCAAACAUACUAACGUAGAAAGAGCAGAAUAUUGUUUUCAAGACAUAUUACUGGUCCUUCAGUUCGUUUAUCUUUUUAAAUCCUUAAAUCCUAGGACACACUUGGUGGAAACUUUAU